rnacentral:rRNA from 1 species
UCGGGAAUUUUGGGCAAUGGGCGAAAGCCUGACCCAGCAACGCCGCGUGAGGGAUGAAGUAUUUCGGUAUGUAAACCUCGAAAGAAUGGGAAGAAUAAAUGACGGUACCAUUUAUAAGCUCCGGCUAACUACGUGCCAGCAGCCGCGGUAAUACGUAGGGAGCAAGCGUUGUUCGGACUUACUGGGCGUAAAGGGCGCGUAGGCGGCAAUUCAAGUCAGCUGUGAAAUCUCUGGGCUUAACCCGGAACGGCCAGCUGAUACUGCUUUGCUAGAGUGCGGAAGGGGCAAUCGGAAUUCUUGGUGUAGCGGUAAAAUGCGUAGAUAUCAAGAGGAACACCUGAGGUGAAGACGGGUUGCUGGGCCGACACUGACGCUGAGGCGCGAAAGCCAGGGGAGCAAACG